rnacentral:rRNA from 1 species
GACGAACGCUGGCGGCGUGCCUAAUACAUGCAAGUUGAGCGCUGAAGGUUGGUACUUGUACCAACUGGAUGAGCAGCGAACGGGUGAGUAACGCGUGGGGAAUCUGCCUUUGAGCGGGGGACAACAUUUGGAAACGAAUGCUAACACCGCAUAAAAACUUUAAACACAAGUUUUAAGUUUGAAAGAUGCAAUUGCAUCACUCAAAGAUGAUCCCGCGUUGUAUUAGCUAGUUGGUGAGGUAAAGGCUCACCAAGGCGAUGAUACAUAGCCGACCUGAGAGGGUGAUCGGCCACAUUGGGACUGAGACACGGCCCAAACUCCUACGGGAGGCAGCAGUAGGGAAUCUUCGGCAAUGGACGAAAGUCUGACCGAGCAACGCCGCGGGAGUGAAGAAGGUCUUCGGAUCGUAAAACUCUGUUGGUAGAGAAGAACGUUGGUGAGAGUGGAAAGCUCAUCAAGUGACGGUAACUACCCAGAAAGGGACGGCUAACUACGUG